UACCCGAAGCCCGUGUGUAGCAGCCGGACGUGACGGCGGAAGCAUCUGGGUUCAAAGAGAGGGGCGAAACAGACCAAAGGAGAUCUUUUUCCUUUGUUAAGCAAACCCUCGGCCUCUAAACGUUGUUUUUUUCCUCGACCUCUCCUAUUCCACUUUAGCCGCCGUGGCGGCGGCGGCGAUGCCCCGUGCUCGUACCUCCGCCGACCCUAUCACACCACGGCGGCGGCGAUGCCUCGUGCCUCCGCCGACCCUUGUCCCCCCUCUGCUACCGCCGGACUCGCCCGCCGCAACCCGCGGUACCCCAAGUUGUAGAGCGACCGGAACUGAGUGCGUGCAGGGCAAGGCGAGUCCCGUGUAGGACGGAGUCGUCGGUGUGGAGAGGGAGGUUCGUGUCUCGUACGACGGGGGUGGGGGCAUGUUACUUGCUCGUACGGUUCCUCUCCUUGAGGUACGCAUACCCUCCGGUCGGCGAGGGGUUAGAAGUCUAGACUGGUUGCACCCUCCUUAACAACCUCGUGUUGGUUUAGGUUUGCGGAGUGGCUUCAAACGUUACCUAGUUGGAACUUCUGUGAGCCUUGUAAAUGAAGCUCACUUCUGAGAUCGCCGCGAUAACGGUGACGGGGCUGGAGCGGCUAACAACUGGAGCGACCGAACUGUCGCAGGAAAAACUAAGACUUGUAUCCACGAUGAGAGGACCUGUGGCGGCUGAGUCCAGGAUGAGAGGACCUGCGGCGGCUGAGUCCACCUAUUGCCACCGUGAUUCCGGACGUCAUCGCUCACCUCUCGCGGGUCCGGCUCGAGGGGUUGCAAGUACAGCAUGUCCUCGAUUAGGUACAACUCACCCGGUAUAGCCAGAAACAGACGUGCGUAAUAAUAUAGGAGAAGAAUAGAGGGGGCGAACACGGUGGCCUCUUAUAGUUCCUACACCGCAGCCGUGACUCGGCGGUGACCAUCCGUUCCCGUACACCGGACCAGUACUUGCUACUCUAACCCCAGCCGUGUGUGGUUUCACUGUGUGUCUCCGUCUCAAGAUAUUUUUUUUAUUCCUUAGGUAGAUUAAGAUGAACUGUUGGAAGGUUGUGCUCUGGUCCUGGUCAUAAGACUUGGAGUAUGGUAAUUCCCGUAUAGACAUAAGAUUCCUUUUAAUCAUGUGGACAACGUCCAAUAAGGAAACUUACUAGAUUCUUUAUAUAAACCUAAUCCCUUCGCACUUCGUGUUCGUUAGUGGAGUCUAUAGCUUAGAGCUCGUAUGUCUUUAUUCGAAUAUUUUAGGAAAUCAUGACUAAACCAACAACGAGGAUUGUUUCGUAGUAAGGAGGUUUUAGAGACAGUUCUCAAUAUCAAACUAGGACUUGAACGAUCGUUCUACGUAUUUCUAUGGUUCGACUGUGAACAAAAAACAUAACGUAGUAAUUAAAAUGUCGUAUCAAGAUACAAUCGAGUUUUAAACUAGAACGAGGACGAUCGUUCUACACAUGGUAUAAUCGAUGUCAAACUUCCUAUAUUAGGAAAACAAAGUUCUGACUACCAAUUUGUAAGGAGGUCACACUUUCAAUAAUAAAAGACAAGUUUAAAGAAGCAAUGUAAGGAACCCACACUUUCAAUAAUCAAAGUCAAACUUCCUAUAUUAAAAUUGAUAUACGUAAACCGAUAGUUGGUCGAAAAGACGAUAGGCUGAAACUUAAACGU
rnacentral:rRNA from 1 species